CCUUUAAGCUAUUAUGACUAUUAUUAUUGUUAUUAUUGAACCAGAGAGCAGUUCAUGCAUUCAAAGUGACGUUGGGGUAAAAUAUACGAAGCCCAGUACACCCAUCACGAUUACCCGUCUGAUAAAAUUACAGCAGGCACAUGCAUCACAACCAUAUGUGCGCAGCAUGGUUAACUCAUAUCAAGAUAAACAGCACAUGACCUUGUAGGUGGGGCCCAGUUAGAAUUUUAUUCCGGUCGCGCAGCACAUCCCACUCCAUUGGUCCUUGAAUGAGUGUUGUUUAUGGAUGCUCAAUGAAACACCUAUGUCUUCAGAGUUGAAUUAUGCAAACUCCAA